rnacentral:rRNA from 1 species
CUUCGGUCUGAUUGAGUGGCGUCCGGGUGCGUGACACGUCGGUGACCUACCCAUUUGUGGGGAAUACCCUGCCGAAAGGUGGGCUAAUACCGCAUACGAUCCCUUCGUCGCAGAAGGGAUGAAAGCUCGCAAGGGCGCUGAUGGAGGGGCCGGCGGCCUAUCAGCUAGUUGGUGGGGUAAAGGCCUACCAAGGCAACGACGGGGAGCCGAUCUGAGAGGAUGAACGGCCACAGUGGGACUGAGAUAUGGUCCACAGCCCUACGGGGUUUAGCAUGGAGGAAUCUUGCGCAACAUCCGACAGGAUGGCGCAGCAACGCCGCGUGGGGGAUGAAGCCGUUUGCGGUGUAAACCCCUGUUGCUCGGGAAGAAGUACCGUCGGGGAGAGCCUGACGGGAAGGCGGUACCGGGCGAGGAAGCCCCGGCUAACUACGUGCCAGCAGCCGCGGUAAGACGUAGGGGGCGAGCGUUAUCCGGAUUUAUUGGGCGUAAAGCGCGCGCAGGCGGACCGCAGCAGUGGCGUGUGGAAUCUCCCGGCUCACCCGGGAGGGGUCAUGCCAGACGGGCGGUCUUGAGGCAAACAGUGGGUCGCGGAACGGGCAGAGUAGGGGUGAAAUCCGUAGAGACUGUCCGGAACACCAGAGGCGAAGGCGGCGACCUAGGUUUGAGAAGCAGUCGCGAGACUGUCCUGACGCUCAGGCGCGAAAGCGUGGGUAGCGAACGGAAUUAGAUACUCCGGUAGUCCACGCCCUAAACGAUGGCCACUCGGUGUCGGGGGUAUCGACCCCCUCGGUGCCUUAGCUAACGCGGUAAGUGGCCCGCCUGGGGACUACGGCCGCAAGGCUAAAACUCAAAGGAAUUGACGGGGGCCCGCACAAGCAGCGGAGCGUGUGGAUUAAUUCGAUGCAACGCGAAGAACCUUACCCAGGUUUGACAUAGCACUGGUAGGGAGGGGAAACCCGAACGACCCGCAAGGAGUGUCACAGUGCUGCAUGGCUGUCGUCAGCUCGUGCCGUGAGUGUUGGGAUAAGUCCCGCACGAGCGCACCCCCGUCUUCCAGUUGCGU